GAUGUUGCAGCUGAAUUCAACCAUGAAUAAAGUAAAAGAUCCAAUGGCAGGAACCAUUUGACAUAGGAAGCGGUUUUGUGAAUGCUACCGCAUUAUUAAACCUGGGAUGACUUUUCGAUUCAAGAUAACUUCAUGAGUCAAUACAAGUCUUGAGGAAUGGCCCCUGCUGCUAAUUUCAGUGGGUUUAGUUUUAGAGGGUCGGGGAUGGCUCAUAGACAGCCUACUGCUGAUAAUGAGUCUGGCGGAUUAAAUGCAUGAGCUUUGAUUCAGACCUUGUCUCAGCUGAUGCAUCAUUGUCACCCCAUACAUUGACUUGAUGGUAAGGUACAAGAAACUCAAUAGGUACAAGAAACUCAGUUAGCACAGCAGGGAAGAGGAAGCUAAUACAUGACACCGUAAAUGAUAAUGUUAGA